CACCAGAGAAUGUGAUUUUUUUUCUGAAAAAUUGCAUACUUCCGAAUACGCCUUAUGGGAAACUACCCAGCUUUUCCACAAUAUGUACCUGAUAUGGAGAGGAAAAAAAGCAAACCAUGGUGGUCUAAGCAGCUUAGAUUUGAUUUAAAAAAAAAGAGUGGUUCCUUCAGUUCAUUUUCCAAACCCUUCUGCCAGAACAAGCUGGUUCUUCUGGGAAGACAGAACUGCCUACGACCAUAUGCACCCAUCUGUUCUCUACGAAAACGCCUUGGCCUUUUCCACACUGAGCCAGUGGGUGGUGGGGGUGACCACUGCAGGUAGACAGGCCAGAUGGCAAGCGCCCCCAUUCCCGAGAGGGUCCUGCCCCAUAUCCAGAAGGAAGGAAUGCUGCACAGAGGCCAGGAAGAAUCUAGACAGACAGGCCUUGCUGAGUUUCCCUACUCAGUCUAUUUGUAUUAGAUCAUGCAUUUUUUUGCCCAGUUAUAUUUCUACAUGGCUGUCCGUAUUUUGCUGAACCUAAGCAUAAACAGGGACAGUUUCCCCAAUAUCUUCGGGUCUUCAUCCCGAAGGCUCCUAUGUCAC